rnacentral:rRNA from 1 species
UAGAGUUUGAUCCUGGCUCAGGACGAACGCUGGCGGCGUGCUUAACACAUGCAAGUCGAACGAUGAAGCCCUUCGGGGUGGAUUAGUGGCGAACGGGUGAGUAACACGUGGGCAAUCUGCCCUGCACUCUGGGACAAGCCCUGGAAACGGGGUCUAAUACCGGAUACGACCUGCCGAGGCAUCUCGGCGGGUGGAAAGCUCCGGCGGUGCAGGAUGAGCCCGCGGCCUAUCAGCUUGUUGGUGAGGUAGUGGCUCACCAAGGCGACGACGGGUAGCCGGCCUGAGAGGGCGACCGGCCACACUGGGACUGAGACACGGCCCAGACUCCUACGGGAGGCAGCAGUGGGGAAUAUUGCACAAUGGGCGAAAGCCUGAUGCAGCGACGCCGCGUGAGGGAUGACGGCCUUCGGGUUGUAAACCUCUUUCAGCAGGGAAGAAGCGAGAGUGACGGUACCUGCAGAAGAAGCGCCGGCUAACUACGUGCCAGCAGCCGCGGUAAUACGUAGGGCGCAAGCGUUGUCCGGAAUUAUUGGGCGUAAAGAGCUCGUAGGCGGCUUGUCACGUCGGGUGUGAAAGCCCGGGGCUUAACCCCGGGUCUGCAUUCGAUACGGGCAGGCUAGAGUGUGGUAGGGGAGUGGAAUUCCGUGUAACGGUAAAUGCGCAGAUAUCAGGAGGAACACCGGUGGCGAAGGGUC